CAGUCGCCGCGGGAAAACGAAGGGUGCAAGCGUUACUCGGAAUUACUGGGCGUAAAGCGUGCGUAGGUGGUGGUUUAAGUCCGUUGUGAAAGCCCUGGGCUCAACCUGGGAAUUGCAGUGGAUACUGGAUCACUAGAGUGUGGUAGAGGAUAGUGGAAUUUCCGGUGUAGCAGUGAAAUGCGUAGAGAUCGGAAGGAACAUCUGUGGCGAAGGCGACUAUCUGGGCCAACACUGACACUGAGGCACGAAAGCGUGGGGAGCAAACAGGAUUAGAUACCCCUGUAGUCCCUGUCUCUUAUCC
rnacentral:rRNA from 1 species